rnacentral:rRNA from 1 species
AUUGCACGCUGGCGGCAGGCCUAACACAUGCAAGUCGAACGGAGUGGCGGACGGGUGAGUAAUGUCUGGGAAACUGCCUGAUGGAGGGGGAUAACUACUGGAAACGGUAGCUAAUACCGCAUACUAUCAGAUGAGCCUAGGUCGGCUUAGCUAGUUGGUGGAGUAAAGGCCUACCAAGGCGACGAUCCGUAACUGGGCUGAGAGGAUGAUCAGUCACACUGGAAAUGAGACACGGUACAGACGCCUACGGGAGGCAGCAGUGGGGAAUAUUGGACAAUGGGCGAAAGCCUGAUCCAGCCAUGCCGAGUGUGUGAAGAAGGUCUUCGGAUUGUAAAGCACUUUAAGUUGGGAGGCGUUACCAACAGAAUAAGCACCGGCUAACUUCGUGCCAGCAGCCGCGGUAAUUC